CGGGGGGUGGGGGUGGGGGUGGGGACAGCGCAGUUGCCCUGCAGCCCGCGUCUAGGGCGGCUCUCCCGGAUCCUGUUGCUGACCAUCCCCGACGAGGACGCUCUGAGCUGCUGCCUCCCUCACUGGUCUCACUCUGUUUCCUCUUAUUUUAUUCUUUUAAUGGCUAUUUAUCUGGCUUGGCUCUUGUUCUUUUCAUUUAAUUGUUUUCCCUUCCAGUGGCAUCAUAAUGAGUCAGUGUCACGGUGACUAACUGCAGCUUCUGGGGUGGGGGGGUUCCAACGGCGGGGACUUAAAGGGCCGUAUUGCCGUCGGGGCCGCUACCGUCCCGGGUCACCCAGCGCCGGCAGGUGCCUGGCUUCCCUCUCCGCGGGUCGCCGAGACGCUCGGUCGUUACUGCCUGUGUCUCCCAGGCCGUGCGGAUCCUUGCUGCUGUCUGGAUGCCUUCUCUCUGGGCAGGCUCCGUAUCUCUUCUUCUCCUUUAAGAAGUUCAUCAGAAAUCCAUAAAUAUAAAUGAAGGAUGGACAAACUUUCAUUUGCUAUGUUGAGAGAAAGCAGCAACUGAGAAGAUGCUGAGACAACAGCUACUGUAUUUCAUGGCAUCAGAUGUUACUACCACCCCUUCCCAGGGAUUUGUCCUUGAUUUGUCCAACCGCUGGUUCUCCGUGACCUUUCCUGCCCAUCUGAAUCCUGAUUUCUAGCUGAUGCUAUUGAGGUUCCUCCAUGACACUGGUUGUAUUUACUUGAGUUAUAAGACACCCAGACAACCCACUUACAACCCAGGCUCAGUUUUCUAAUCUCAGUGACUUCAAAUACAAGUAGAGAAUGGCAAUGACUGUCUGCCAGAUUAUUUAAUUGUAAAGGCUUCUUACUAAUUUUGAUACAGAAAUAACAAUUUAUCUAGUGGUGACAUCCCCAAGACAAGCUAUAAUACAAGCAUUUAUAAGAAACAAAAUGACAGAGAAUGAUAGGUACAGUGAAGGCUCUGGUAAAGGUAAAUACGGGCAAACUCUAUAGAAGUAAACACUUCUUUUCACCAAAUAUCAACAGAAAUAUCCAAGGUUGAACGUUUUGGCUAU
rnacentral:lncRNA from 12 species